GGCUGCUUUCCUUCCUCCACCGCCCGCGCUCACAGCCGGGUUGGAGGCUGAGGCCGGAUCCGCGAAAGUGACUGAAUCUGGGCUCAGGCGCGAAUAUGUGUAAGAAUGGAGAGAAAUCCCUCCUUCACUACCCUGUGCAGGAUUUGUAAUUUCAGAUGACUUUGCAUUGAAUUUCUUAUCCUGAAAAGCUAAAGGGAAGGCCAGACCAUGAGAAAUCAGAGAAAUUAAGGCUCAGCUGAGGAAGCACCAUUCCCUCAGAUGCCUGCCAGGAUCUACCCAAACUUGAAGCAAUCCGCUCUUUCCUAGAUAAGGUGUGAUUUUAUAGUCCACACUGGCUUCAAAUUCACAAUCAUCCUGCUUCAGCCUCAUGAGUCCCAGACUACAUGCAGAUGCAUGCCCCCAUACCCU